rnacentral:rRNA from 1 species
CCUACGGGGGGCAGCAGUGAGGAAUAUUGGUCAAUGGGCUAAGGCCUGAACCAGCCAAGUCGCGUGAGGGAAGACGGUCCUAUGGAUUGUAAACCUCUUUUGUCGGGGAGCAACGAGGCCACGUGUGGCCGAAGUGAGAGUACCCGAAGAAAAAGCAUCGGCUAACUCCGUGCCAGCAGCCGCGGUAAUACGGAGGAUGCGAGCGUUAUCCGGAUUUACUGGGUGUAAAGGGCGUGUAGGCGGGAAAGCAAGUCAGAUGUGAAAACCAUGGGCUCAACCUGUGGCCUGCAUUUGAAACUGUUUUUCUUGAGUACUGGAGAGGCAGACGGAAUUCCUAGUGUAGCGGUGAAAUGCGUAGAUAUUAGGAGGAACACCAGUGGCGAAGGCGGUCUGCUGGACAGCAACUGACGCUGAGGCGCGAAAGCGUGGGGAGCAAACAGGAUUAGAUACCCGAGUAGUC